UACGUAGGGUGCAAGCGUUUGUCCGGAAUUAUUGGGCGUAAAGAGCUUGUAGGCGGUUUGUCGCGUCUGCUGUGAAAUUUCGGGGCUCAACCCCGAACUUGCAGUGGGUACGGGCAGACUAGAGUUCGGUAGGGGAGACUGGAAUUCCUGGUGUAGCGGUGAAAUGCGCAGAUAUCAGGAGGAACACCGGUGGCGAAGGCGGGUCUCUGGGCCGAAACUGACGCUGAGGCACGAAAGCGUGGGUAGCAAACAGG
rnacentral:rRNA from 1 species